CCUACGGGUGGCAGCAGUGGGGAAUAUUGCACAAUGGGCGCAAGCCUGAUGCAGCCAUGCCGCGUGUGUGAAGAAGGCCUUCGGGUUGUAAAGCACUUUCAGCGGGGAGGAAGGCGUUAAGGUUAAUAACCUUGUCGAUUGACGUUACCCGCAGAAGAAGCACCGGCUAACUCCGUGCCAGCAGCCGCGGUAAUACGGAGGGUGCAAGCGUUAAUCGGAAUUACUGGGCGUAAAGCGCACGCAGGCGGUCUGUCAAGUCGGAUGUGAAAUCCCCGGGCUCAACCUGGGAACUGCAUUCGAAACUGGCAGGCUAGAGUCUUGUAGAGGGGGGUAGAAUUCCAGGUGUAGCGGUGAAAUGCGUAGAAAUCUGGAGGAAUACCGGUGGCGAAGGCGGCCCCCUGGACAAAGACUGACGCUCAGGUGCGAAAGGGUGGGGAGCAAACAGGAUUAGAUACCCGAGUAGUC
rnacentral:rRNA from 1 species